UCUGUGUAACAGCACAGCGCAUUUGUGUUUCAUAUUGAACCGAUAAACACACACAAACUGCGCAGUAGGUGGUAAACAUAUUGGAAUUUCAAUUGUGAUGAACAAUGGCAUGAAUUCGCGGAAGUUGAAGUACCUACCGUAUAUGUUUUAAAUCGCUCGUUAUUAAUUGCGUUAUGUAUCGUUCUUUUAUAUUUAGACAUAAAAUAAAUUUAUACAGGAAAUGGCUGAAUCCGUGGAGUCUUCUCUUCACAAGGGAUCGGAUAUGUUUCUGGAUUACAUUUGCACAGCAUGUGAAGAACGCAGCUUGUCUAUCGAAGCAAGUUCUUACUGCGAGAAGUGUGCAACCUUUUUGUGCGAAAAAUGCAUCUCUCCACACACGCAACUUUAUGGAAAGCAUGUUGUCCUUGGAAGAGAUGACGUUGAAAAAUGGCCUCUGUUAAAAUGCUCUAUCAUAGACAGAUGUCCUGAACACGAGAAUAUGAAAAUUGCAUGUUUCUGUGAAAAUCACGAUCAGUUAUGCUGUUACAGUUGCGUGUCGUUGCAUCACAGAACGUGCGCUAACGUUAAAUUGAUUACAGACUCGUGUAAUGUUGCCAAUUUUUAUGAUGCGGACAAUGUGAAAGAGAAUUUGAAGGAAAUAAACACUCGUUUAAAUACGGCAAGAAUCGACAAGGAAGACGAUAUCAAAGAAUUAGAGUCUUCAUACCAGCAAAUAUUAUCAAAAAUAAAAGCAGCUCGAGAAAAAACUAUUUCCGAUAUAAUUGUACGCGAAAAUGACGCAAUAGGAGAAGUUUAACUGUUACGAGACGAGUGUAAACAAUCAAUAAACAAGGAUGCCGAACUAAGUGCGCUGUUAUGUAAAGAGACAUCUGAAUUGGGAGAGGCGAUUGAUGAUAUGGGACUGAAGGACAGUGGUUUGUUGAUUAUUGCGAAGCAUAAGUGUUUCACACAAUUAAAGAAAGCUGAAAAAUUGUUGCAAAACCUUUCUGCUAAACAGAAAUGCAGAUUUAUCAUUCAAUCAAAUGAGAGUCUUGAAAAAUGCGUUAUGGACUUUAAAGAAAUCGGGCAGACAAUAUUGCAGAAUCCGAGAAAUAGAAUACUUACUUGUAUAAGUGCGAGACGGUAUGAUGCGCUGAUAGAGGAGGAGGGCGAUGAUGAGUGCAUUAUUAUACAAGAUAUGUGCGAAUUGGAUAACGGACAGUACGUAAUCGGCGACGCUCUUAACCGAAAAAUAAAGUUGUUAGACCGUAAUUUUAGAAUUAUCCAUAGUAAUGUACUUAAAGGUUACAUCCAGUGCAUAACUCGCAUUAAUAAGUCAGAGCUGAUUAUCAUGGUUAAUUAAAACGAUAAGAACAUACACAUGAUGUAUUUUGUGUAUGUGCAUAAUAACAAGUUCAAGGUGGCUCGAUAUGAACAUUUGUCUCAUCUCUGUCUCGGGAUGUGUCGACAUGACAAUGAACUGUACAUAACAUCUGGUACAGCACUUUAUGUGUACACACUGGCUGGGGCAUAUUUUAAAACAAUUUACGAGCACAAAUCCGAGGAGCUAUCAGUUGCAAAGUGUGCCGUGUCGCUAGAUGGAAAACGGAUAUACGUGACUGGAGUAUACAGCGAUGGACUCAUUACUCUUUCAAAUGACGGGACUCUUCUGUCAACGUUUACAGACCCAGAGAACAUGGAAUAGACUUCUGUGCAUGUAACCUACAAUGGACAAGUCCUAGUGUGUUGUUUAAAAUCCAACAACAUCAUUCAGCUAGAUUACGAAGGCAGGCAGAAAUUGACAGUACUGGCAACACAUGAGAAUGGAUUGGAAGAACCGCGCUCAGUGUUUUAUAGUCAAACUGCGAAUAAAGUAAUUGUUGGUCAGCAUUGCGUUUACAAUGAACUCGUCAUGUUAGAUGUUAAAUUAUAGCUACAAAUAAAACAGUCUAGGUCAUGUUGGCAUGAUUUUUUUUUUGUCAGUAGAUUUUCAUUGUCCGUCAUCGCCGUUUACAAAUAACUGAAACAUUUUUCUCAAAAAGCUCCCUUAAAGGCAGGUUUACUUUUUGCCUGAAACCACUGGCUAUAUUUGAAAAUUUUGGAAUAUUACCGCAAGAUUUUUUGCAUUUCAAUUGUAUUAUUAUUUUGGAAACAGUUGAUAUCUGUUUCUGCUUAAAUACUAGCUAAAUUUAAAUAUUAUAAGGACUUUUUUAAAGUGUUUUUCCAUCUUUCUUCAAAUUAUUUUUAGUUUCAAGCACACGACCGUAAAAAGGUAAAGGCAUUUUUCAAUCUAUAUUGAACACGAUUAAUCUUUUGGUGAUCUUUCAUGUGUCUCCUUUGAAUUUUUGGAUAAUUCCAAUGUAUGUUCCUUGUAUGAAUUGAUACUUUAUUUCUUGAAAUUGCUUUUGUGUCUUUUUUACACCUGUUGUUUUUCUGUAUGAGCUGUUGUCAGUACUUGACUUCAAAGACAUGAUAGCAUGUUAUACUAUUUUUGCACACCGAUCAAUAUGGCGCCUAAAUUUUAAACUAGCGGCUCGUGGCCAUCUUGAAUAUCUUGUUUAGAUUGGUUAAUGCUGUUAUGAGAACGGUUUGUCGGACGGGCUGGUUGGUGUAAUGAAAUACAUACAUAUGCUUGCAUACCUAAUAGCGAUAUCUCCAUCUGAAUUACGCCGAUGGUUUGGAUCAAUACCAAUGCCAUUGCUUUUAAAACGUUUCUGCAAAAUAAACUGACAACCAAAGUAAUGAUUGUCAAACAAACGUCUUUAGUAUAUAACUUAUAGCGAUAUCGCGUUUGUGUAAACAUGUGGAGUAGGUGGGUCGAUGUAUAGGUAAGUGUUUAAAUAAUAUUAUAUUCUUUAAUAAAUAAAUAACAUAAUUGGAUGCACAUUUAACCAUUUCAUAUACAGUACUAAGCAUUCACUCAAUUUUCAAAAAUUACCUUUUUCGAUUGACACUAAGGCUGCGACUUCAUGAUUUGAUUAAAGAAAUGUAGGCCAAAGGUUGUAUCAACUUUAUAUUAACUUAUAUUCGAGACAUUUUGAUGUUCGUUAAAUUUUAGGUUUUGUGUGCUAUUGUUAAAGUCUGCAUAACCUAUCUACAGUUUUCGCAUAUCUUCAGUGCGUACUUACCCCUGUAUCAAAUAUUAUUAUAUUCGCACGGCAAGUGUCUAUUUUAACCGAUUUGUAAACAUGAGUAUUGUGUUUAUGUUAGUCGGAAGUAACAAGUAUGUAGUCCUGGUAAACAUCCGACAGUUGAUUAGUUAAUUUUUACGUAAAGCGAAACGCAUUUAUUUUGUCGCAUAAUUGAUGUAUUUCAUGUCGCAUAAUUGGUGUAUUUCAUGUAUAUUCCUUGUUCGGUGUAACUGAAUACAUAAUAUCUGUCUUCAUGAAGAAAUGCAUAAAUGGGCAUCAUAUGUCGUCGUCAAAUUAGACGAAGAAAAAAUGCACCAAGUUAUGGCCCAUGGCUGGGUUCACUAAUUUGUUAUGUCUAUUGUAAGCACAUGCAACACUGUUAAUUUGUGUAUAUUUUCAUGUUAAAUGACAGGUGACAGUUAAACAAACGUGGUCUCGCUUAAUUAUUGGCAUAUAUAUGCACAAGAUAUGUAAGUCACACAUAAAGCCAUCCCGUAUCAGGUAAUUCAACUCAUGUUAAAGUCAAUCAUCCAGACAGCCGUCACCCAAUUUAUUUGUCCAUUAUUGUAUAAAUUGGCAUCUGCGUUGUAUGAAGGACAGUCUUACUUAAACGGCCGAACAUACAAGUCGCAUUAUUGCUGGCUUUCGCGGGAUGGGCCCAUUGCGGGCUUCGCAUGUAUCUUGUAUUUGACAAACAUUUUGGAAACGUUGUGUUGUGUUAAUAAGCAGAAAUAAAACGCAAAGAAAUCAGAAA